rnacentral:lncRNA from 1 species
CCCUUUCCCCUCCGGCCUCUGCCGGUGCUGCUGCGCCCUGCGGAGCUCCGAACACGUGCGCGGAGUCCCAUAGAGCCUGACUCCGAGAGCCUCGAUCUCCCAGGGCCAGAGGCAGGGACUUUGGAAGAGAGGCUGGCUGUGGCAGAUGCAACUGCAGGAUGACUUGAAAGUAGGGCAUCCUUCACCCAUCUGAAGGGAGGAAAUAGUGGCAGGUGACAGUCUGCAUGUGCAGUUUUCAGAUGCCUUCACCUGAAUGACAUCUACCUCCAUCAGGACCCCAGAUGUCUGACAGCCCUGUGUGACACCAAGAUAAGUAACAAUCUGGCUGCUGACUACCCUAUUGGACAACUCCAAUAUUAGAGAACAUUUCCACCAAUUCAGAAAGUUUAUUAUGCACUGCUGUUCUAGAGCAGGGAUCAGCAAACUUGCUGUAAAGAGCCAGGAUCCCGUUGAAGAUACCACAUUACACUUAGGCUCCUGUUGGCCAUGACAGCUUCUUAGACUUGUUUUUAAUGACCUUGACAGUUUUGUUUUUUUGUUUGUUUGUUUUUGAGACGGAGUCUCUGUCAUCCAGGCUGGAGUGCAAUGUAAUGGCUCAAUCUCAGCUCACUGCAACCUCUGCCUCCCGGGUUCAAGUGAUUCUCCUGCCUCAGCCUCCCCAGUAGCUGGGAUUACAGGCAUGAGCCACCGUGCCCGGCUGCCUCCUAAAUUCUCAAAACAUUCCAUUUUUAUUCUGUGGUCUUACUUUAUUCUGUCAUGUAGAGAAUAGUGGUUGAGCCUGUUGUCUUUUGAGAGUGGAUGCUGUAGUCCUUACAUGGCUGACUUUCAGCCCGUAAGCUUAUAGUAGAGGAUGGGGAUUUUGUUAUCAGCUGCUAAAAGGGAGAAGCCAAGCCCAGAACUAAGGGUUCUGAUGAGUUGAAGGAGAGGGAAGAUGCCCCUCAAGGCAAAGAGCCUCUGAGUUAGAAUCUGUGCUUCACCAGAGUGACAAUGGUAGAACUUCUCCUUCUCAGUAUUAAUUCUCCUGGAGAGAACUCUAGGGUUGUCUAAACCUGUUCAACUAGGCUGACUACCCCAGCAAGUGAUGGGUUGGACAUAAGGCAAAGAACAGGAGGGGUGAAAGGGGGCAGAACAGACAAGUUCUGUCCCAGCCUCUGCUACCUCUAACCCCAUGGCAUUCUAUCCUUUUCUACACUGGGCUUCCAUUUCUUACCCCAACAAUGAUCUGUUCUUCCAGGUGCCGUCAUUUAAUUUCCCAGACACUUGACCUCCUUCUGAUUUGUGUACUCCCUCCAAGGCUGAGUUGCAGUGAGUGACAAUAAUCUGUGCUAAUUACUUAUCUUGCCAGAAGACUCAAAGGGUUUAUGGCUUUUACUAACUGAACUCUAUGCUAGAUGUUAGGGAUAAAUGGUUAACAGGACACAGUUCUUGCUUAUCUUGCUAUGGUCUGUCAAGCCUUAUACAAUCUAGCCUUAUCUCUCUCACCGUCUUAUCUUUAUCACCCGUAGAUUCCCUUGUUGGCCACUGGUUUCUUUCAGUCCUUAAUUAGCCUUUUGUCACUACCUGUCUACACAUGCUGUUUUUCCCUUCUCAUUCCAUCUUGACAUUGUCUAUUUUGAGAUCUCAGCUCAGUUGCAGAGAAGCUGCCUUCCCCAUCUGGCAACCCAUUAUAUGUGUCAUAGUACCAUGUUGUACCAUAGAGCUAGACACAGGUGCCAUGUUGUGUCUUGAAAUGUAUUCACCAGCUUCCAAAGGUUUACCUCAAUCCCCUUUACUCAAGAAGCCUCAGUUCUACUGACAGUUGGUAAUAAUAACCUCUCUGUCAUAAUGUACCCAAAAUAGAGUAAGAAUAUCAUGCUUUUCAGUAAUACUCCAGUGAAUGAGGCUAAGAGUACCAUUUUUGUUCUUAUAAAAGAAUUUUUUUGGACAUGAAUACAAAGAUGUCAGGUUACCAAAUCAUUUGCUAGUAGAUCCUAACAAUAUCACCUAUAGGAAACUGAACGUAGCCUUUAAACAUUAAGUGAUGAUAAUGGAUUUGGCCGGGCGCGGUUGCCUAUAAUCCCAACACUGAGAGGCUGAGGUGGGUGGAUCACUUGAGGCCAGGACAGGACCAGCAUGGCCAACAUGGUGAAACCCCGUCUCUACAAAAGAAAAAAAUACAAAAAUUAGCUGGGUGUUGUGGUGUAUGCCUGUAAUCCCAACUAUUUGGGUGGCUGAGGCACGAGAAUCGCUUGAACUUGGAAGGCAGAGGUUGCAGUGAGCUGAGAUCGUGCCACUGCACUCCAGCCUGGGUGACAGACUGAGACAGUCUCAAAAAAAAAAAAAGAAAAUAAUGGAUUUGCAGAGACUUGCUAUUUAGAUUUCAGACAUCUGUUAACUAAAACACAUGUGUAGGCUUUUGUUACUUAUUUCAGUAAUCUGUAAAUAUCUUUAUAUUUGAGAAAAUUUGUGAGACAUCUUUGUGUAAAUUAUAACUUGAAGAACCUCUCUUACAAGCAGGCAUAUUGGUAAGUAGCUGCGAGGAUAUAACUUAUAACCAGAUUGAAGUGUAUAAUUAUAAUAUGUUAUUAUUCUGGGGUUCUAUAAAAAAUAAAAUCUUUGAAUCUA